rnacentral:lncRNA from 1 species
GGUCUCUGAGCCUCGCUAUCCGCUCGCACCGUAACGACAUCAUAACGACACUUUUCGUUACUAAUAACGACAAAACUCGCUAAGAAUAGUGUACAGAAUCGCAUUUGUCGUUAUAAUAGCGACGCGGUCGGUAGCAUAACGAAACUUGUCGUUAUGAGUCCAUAACGACAGCAUAACGAGUUACAGAAUCGCGCUACAGUAGCGCUACAGUAGCGCGAUUCUGUAACUCGUUAUGCUGUCGUUAUGGACUCAUAACGACAAGUUUCGUUAUGCUACCGACCGCGUCGCUAUUAUAACGACAAAUGCGAUUCUGUACACUAUUCUUAGCGAGUUUUGUCGUUAUUAGUAACGAAAAGUGUCGUUAUGAUGUCGUUACGGUGCGAGCGGAUAGCGAGGCUCAGAGACCCCCUCGGUACGCUAUAACGACGAUUAUAACGACACUUUGCACACGAGCUAGAGGAGUGGUGUGCGUUUCCCAUAUUUUUCUCGACUCCGAGAAAGUGCUUCGAAAAGUGCUCCGAAAGUGAAAAAUAAUUACGACGUUUGAAAUAACAAGAUCAUGGCUAUCGAAUACCUUGCUUGGGAUGUAUUCGUUCUUGAGGAAAGAUUACGUCGACUCGAACGUCGUGUGGAAAGAAGGCGACUGAGAGAUGCUCAGAAUCCUUUUCAGUUACCACGAGAAGAGUUUCUCAGCCUUUUUCACCUGCCUCAAGAAGCUGUGAUGAAUCUUGGUUAACACCUUAAGCGCAGUCAAAGCGAAAAUAUUUUUCACUGUUCAGCAAAGCAGCAUAGGUGAUGCUGGAUAUCCGUUGGAGCCUUGGCUGUUAACACCUCUGGCCAAUUUUCCUGAAGAUACGCGACAACAUCAAUAUACACAACAACUAUGUAAGGCUAGAAGCGUCGUCGAGCGGUUUUUUGGAGUUUUUAAAUCUGUAUGGAGAUGCUUGUCAUACCAGCGAGUCUUGAUGUACGAACCAGCGUUCGCAGCGAAAAUUGAUAAUGCGUGUGCAGUACUGCACAACAUGAGAGUGCAACUACGAUUAAACAAUGAAGAUGACGAACAACUAGCACCGAUAGCUCAUCCUGUAGAGAAUGAUGUUGAUCUGAUGGAUCAAGAUGAAGAAUACCACAGACGAGGACCACGCGCUUUGGCUCAACGAAUUCAACAACAAAUUAUGAGAGAAAGAUUUACCAACUUCCGUGAUGCGGAAGAAUAGAAUACAGAAUAUGGAAUGAUGUUUAUGGUUAAAUUGCCAACAAGUAUAAUGUUUAAAGGUGAUGAGAGAAAUUAACGACAACAGAGUCAGGGCGGUGUUACGCUCCGACGUACCGCCUUGGCGUACCUUUUUCAAAAUUCCAUGUCAUUUCAUUUCUUUAAUAUCUUCAAUGCACAGAUAUUAUUUCAUCAAAAUCUCAUAGGCUCAUAGGAGUAAGGCUGCGGUCAAGCAUCUCUAUACGCCAGGUUCGAUUCCUGGCUCCGUCGUUAAUUUUUCAAAAUCACCAAUUUUUCAAAUUUACAUUCCUUCAACUAUAAUGUUUACAAUUGAUUGUACAUAAAGAAAUAUUCAAUUGUGUUUUUAAAGUAUAACUUUAUUUUAUAAAAAAUAUUCACCUUUUUUAACCUGAACAAAAAAUAAAAACGCGAAAAAUCUUUAUUCUAAA